CAGUAGCCGCGGUAAUACGUAGGGUGCGAGCGUUAAUCGGAAUUACUGGGCGUAAAGCGUGCGCAGGCGGUUGUAUAAGACAGAUGUGAAAUCCCCGGGCUCAACCUGGGACCUGCAUUUGUGACUGUAUAGCUAGAGUACGGUAGAGGGGGAUGGAAUUCCGCGUGUAGCAGUGAAAUGCGUAGAUAUGCGGAGGAACACCGAUGGCGAAGGCAAUCCCCUGGACCUGUACUGACGCUCAUGCACGAAAGCGUGGGGAGCAAACAGGAUUAGAUACCCCCGUAGUCCCUGUCUCUUAUAC
rnacentral:rRNA from 1 species